GAAGAUGAAGAAGAUGUAGAAGAGGAGAAUGAAGAACCACCCAUAUUUCAAGAAAUUGAAGUGGAAGAUUCUCUCCAGGAUGAGGAACAGGAAGAAUUUGUGGAUGAGCCUUCUAUGGAAGAGGACAUGCCAUCUAAUCCUGAUUCAGGAGACAGACAGUAGAAGCCUGAGAAGAAGAUAAGCAACACAUACUAUUGUUAUGUUGGUAAUGUGACAUGUCACAUUAUCUCAAUAAAGCUCUGAAGUUUAUGUAAAAGUAAA